AGUGAACGCUGGCGGUAGGCCUAACACAUGCAAGUCGAACGGCAGCACAGUAAGAGCUUGCUCUUACGGGUGGCGAGUGGCGGACGGGUGAGGAAUACAUCGGAAUCUACUUUUUCGUGGGGGAUAACGUAGGGAAACUUACGCUAAUACCGCAUACGAUCUACGGGUGAAAGCAGGGGAUCUUCGCACCUUGCGCGAUUGAAUGAGCCGGUGGCGGGUUAGCUAAUUGGGUGGGUAAAGGCCCACCAAAGCCACGAACCGUUGCUUGUCCGAGAGGAGGGUCAGCCCAACUGGAACUGGGACACGGUCCAGGCUCCUACGGGAGGCAGCAGUGGGGAAUAUUGGCCAAUGGGGGCAAGGCUGAUCCAGCCAUACCGCGUGGGUGAAGAAGGCUUUCGGGUUGGAAAGCCCUUUUGUUGGGAAAGAAAAGCAGGAGGUUAAUACCCCGCUGUUCUGACGGUACCCAAAGAAUAAGGACCGGCUAACUUCGUG
rnacentral:rRNA from 1 species